AAAGGAAUUGACGGGGACCCGCACAAGCGGUGGAUGAUGUGGAUUAAUUCGAUGCAACGCGAAAAACCUUACCUACCCUUGACAUGUUCAGAACCCUCAAGAGAUUGAGGGGUGCCCGAAAGGGAGCUGGAACACAGGUGCUGCAUGGCUGUCGUCAGCUCGUGUCGUGAGAUGUUGGGUUAAGUCCCGCAACGAGCGCAACCCUUGUCAUUAAUUGCCAUCAUUCAGUUGGGCACUUUAAUGAGACUGCCGGUGACAAACCGGAGGAAGGUGGGGAUGACGUCAAGUCCUCAUGGCCCUUAUGGGUAGGGCUUCACACGUCAUACAAUGGUCGGUACAGAGGGUUGCCAACCCGCGAGGGGGAGCUAAUCCCAGAAAGCCGAUCGUAGUCCGGAUCGCAGUCUGCAACUCGACUGCGUGAAGUCGGAAUCGCUAGUAAUCGCGGAUCAGCAUGUCGCGGUGAAUACGUUCCCGGGUCUUGUACACACCGCCCGUCACACCAUGGGAGCGGGUUCUGCCAGAAGUAGGUAGCCUAACCGUAAGGAGGGCGCUUACCACGGCAGGGUUCGUGACUGGGGUGAAGUCGUCCCAAGGUAACCGUA
rnacentral:rRNA from 1 species